rnacentral:rRNA from 1 species
GUGAGGUAUGCUGGAGGUAUCAGAAGUGCGAAUGCUGACAUAAGUAACGAUAAUGCGGGUGAAAAACCCGCACGCCGGAAGACCAAGGGUUCCUGUCCAACGUUAAUCGGGGCAGGGUGAGUCGACCCCUAAGGCGAGGCCGAAAGGCGUAGUCGAUGGGAAACAGGUUAAUAUUCCUGUACUUGGUGUUACUGCGAAGGGGGGACGGAGAAGGCUAUGUUAGCCGGGCGACGGUUGUCCCGGUUUAAGCAUGUAGGCGGAGGUUCCAGGUAAAUCCGGUACCUUUUUAACGCUGAGGUGUGAUGACGAGGCACUACGGUGCUGAAGUAACAAAUGCCCUGCUUCCAGGAAAAGCCUCUAAGCAUCAGGUAACAUCAAAUCGUACCCCAAACCGACACAGGUGGUCAGGUAGAGAAUACCAAGGCGCUUGAGAGAACUCGGGUGAAGGAACUAGGCAAAAUGGUGCCGUAACUUCGGGAGAAGGCACGCUGAUAUGUAGGUGAAGCGACUUGCUCGUGGAGCUGAAAUCAGUCGAAGAUACCAGCUGGCUGCAACUGUUUAUUAAAAACACAGCACUGUGCAAACACGAAAGUGGACGUAUACGGUGUGACGCCUGCCCGGUGCCGGAAGGUUAAUUGAUGGGGUUAUCCGUAAGGAGAAGCUCUUGAUCGAAGCCCCGGUAAACGGCGGCCGUAACUAUAACGGUCCUAAGGUAGCGAAAUUCCUUGUCGGGUAAGUUCCGACCUGCACGAAUGGCGUAAUGAUGGCCAGGCUGUCUCCACCCGAGACUCAGUGAAAUUGAACUCGCUGUGAAGAUGCAGUGUACCCGCGGCAAGACGGAAAGACCCCGUGAACCUUUACUAUAGCUUGACACUGAACACUGGUCCUUGAUGUGUAGGAUAGGUGGGAGGCUUUGAAGUGUGGACGCCAGUCUGCAUGGAGCCAUCCUUGAAAUACCACCCUUUAAUGGCUGGUGUUCUAACGUGGACCCGUAAUCCGGGUUGCGGACAGUGUCUGGUGGGUAGUUUGACUGGGGCGGUCUCCUCCUAAAGAGUAACGGAGGAGCACGAAGGUUAGCUAAUCCUGGUCGGACAUCAGGAGGUUAGUGCAAAGGCAUAAGCUAGCUUGACUGCGAGAGUGACGGCUCGAGCAGGUGCGAAAGCAGGUCUUAGUGAUCCGGUGGUUCUGAAUGGAAGGGCCAUCGCUCAACGGAUAAAAGGUACUCCGGGGAUAACAGGCUGAUACCGCCCAAGAGUUCAUAUCGACGGCGGUGUUUGGCAC